AGUCCGUGUAGAGGUGCAAUCAAGAUCAGUAAACCAAGCUAGGGUGAUGCCUGUGACCUGGGUUGAAAGGCUUUUUUGCCGAAGUAAACGUGUAAUAUCGAGGCCGUUUGCUGGGGUUGUUCUCGAAUAGGGGCAACACUGCCAUAGUCUAUUUAUUUGUGUAACUAUGGAGCGCUACUGUAGGA
rfam:Vibrio mangrovi strain CECT 7927 genome assembly, contig: 0001